GAUGAACGCUGGCGGCGUGCUUAACACAUGCAAGUCGAACGAAGCACUUUGAACGGACUGGAGAGCUUGCUCAAAGGAAAGAUUAAAGUGACUGAGUGGCGGACGGGUGAGUAACGCGUGGGUAACCUGCCUCAUACAGGGGGAUAACAGUUAGAAAUGACUGCUAAUACCGCAUAAGCGCACAGUACCGCAUGGUACAGUGUGAAAAACUCCGGUGGUAUGAGAUGGACCCGCGUCUGAUUAGCUAGUUGGUGGGGUAACGGCCUACCAAGGCGACGAUCAGUAGCCGGCUUGAGAGAGUGAACGGCCACAUUGGGACUGAGACACGGCCCAAAACUCCUACGGGAGGCAGCAGUGGGAAUAUUGCACAAUGGGGGAAACCCUGAUGCAGCGACGCGCGUGAGUGAAGAAGUAUUUCGGUAUGUAAAGCGUCUAUCAGCAGGGAAGAAAAUGAACGGUACCUGACUAAGAAGCUCCGGCU
rnacentral:rRNA from 1 species